ensembl:lncRNA
CUGUUCUUAUGGUGAGAGGUUCUGGUGCGAAUGGACCGGAGCCUCCUGCCUGAGGGGAGCAGGUCAAACAGACUGUGUCCAGGGUGAGAAGGGUCAGCUGUGAUCCGAGCUGCACGCCCCAGUGUCCUUGAGGUGUACAGGUCUUGCAGAGAUGGGAGUCUGCAGCCAAUCACCUUCUCAGCAGAGCGCACAACACACUGCACUCUCUGCUUGUCCUUGAUAGUGGCUCCAGCGUACCACACGGUGAUGGAGGAGUCCCCCAGGUGGAGGUGGAUUCAGGGGAGGCAUCUGUCCUGCUGCCCUGCAAAACUACUAUAAACCUGCUUAAAGAUGCUAAAGUGGAGUGGAUGACCAAAUUCAACAGGAAGGUCCACGUGUAUGAGACCGGAUCUGACCAGCUUGAAGAUCAGGACAACUAUUACAGAAACAGAACACUGAUGAAUAAAGACCUGCUGAAAACUGGAGACCUCAGUCUGACCCUGAAAUACCCCACAGACUGGGACACAGACAUCUACACCUGCACCGUCUACAACAGGGAGGGAAAAAUAAUCCUGAUGAAACAAGUGGAGCUGAAAGUCAGAGUCUGUCAGGUGGAGGUGGAGGAGGGGGCGGAGUCUGUCGAGCUACCUUUCAAAACCACAGAAGACCUGCCUGCAGAUGCUAAAGUGGUGUGGUGGAACAAUGAUGACAGGAAGGUUCACGUGUAUAAGAACGGCUCUGAUCAGCCUGGAGAACAGCACCAGGUUUACAGAGACCGAACGAAGAUGAAGAGAAGAUCUCUGCUGAAGCCUGGAGACCUCAGUCUGACCCUGGAACAGCCCACAGAGAGAGACAGCGGGAGGUACAGCUGUAGAGUCUACGGGGAGAUCAAGAGAUACAAAAGAGUGCUGCUCAUAGUCAAAGGGAGAGUUCAGGUCCAGGAUCAAACAGGGGACAUCAGGAGCAGAAGCAGCUCCAUUGAUCCGACUCCUCUGAUGGCUGAUCAAUCAGUUUGAUCUGUGUGUUCUUUGAUUAUUGAUCAGUGAUGUCAGAGUGGAGUCAGUGUGAUGUUGUUGUUGUGUGUUUGAGACUUUUAGUGUCCAUGAAGGUCUCUGCUGCCGUAGAUCCUCUGAACUGUGACAGAGGUCUCACUCUGGAGGAAACUCUCAGCACUUUCCAGCAGCUCCUCCAUCAUGGAGGACGUUCCCUCACUGUAACAGGUGGAGGAGAGAGGAGAGGAAGCACAGGUGGAUCCUCUGAGGAAGACAUUAAUGUUAUUACAUGAGUGGAAACAUCAUAGUAAAGAUAAAUCUCCAUGUGUACGAUCUCUGAGGCUCAAAUCAGUCCAGUCAGAUCUGUUGUCCCUUCUAUGUAGGGUUGCCAACUAUCCCGUUUUAUCUAGGAUGUCCCGUAAAAUGACCAACAUAGGUUUCUGCAGUAUUCUACCUUAAAUGUCCCGUAUAAUUACCGUUACCUGGAAUGUCAUUUUCUGACUAACAGCUGGCACUCUAACAAAUACCAAAACUGAUUUGACUGCAAUUACAUCAGAAGAGUACUUGUGUGCAGUCACAUCUGUCAGUGAUGCCCAUCACACACACCAGGUGUGAGGAGUAAUACACGAUUCUUAAAAAUAACGUGCUGUUUGGUCUGCGUAACAUAACAUACUGGGUAACUGAGACCUGUACUUACAAUAUUUUCUUUGAAUAUUUUUCUUUUUUGCUUAUUUUUCAAGGUAAUGCACAUGUGAUUUCUAUCAUCAUUUACUGUAUUUUCUUUAUUGAUUUAGAUGAGGUAUUGAUUAAACUGAAUACCAUUAUUUUACUGCAUUUUGACUGUAAGAAUAUGAACAUACAGUGCAUAUUUACACUGUGCCCAGCUGGCUGUGCAUUGUGCUUCUGCCACACCAGUGUCCCUUAUUUGAUAGUUACAAAGUUGGUGACCCUACCUCUACCUCAGUGUGAUUGUUUAUAUAAGACCUGCCCCGGCGCUAUAAAUGCAAGCAAUUUAAUUAUAAUCAGGCAGGUGUACUUAUCUUAUUUUUAUAAUAAUCCCCAUUAAUGUCCCUGUUCAGUCAAGAGAAUAAAAAUACCCUCUCUGAUCCACUGAGGUUUUUCUUCUGUGGUGUUUCUGACGUUUGAGGAUGAGACCAGAGUUCCUACAGCUUCAGGAAAGUUGGAUUUAAAACUUUAACAUCAGCUGUGUCCUUGUUAGCAAUAAGCUAACAUUUGUAGGCUAACGUGCUUGAACCUGCAUUCUUAUGUAUGAAGUUUGAAACACUUCCUACACAACCUACAACACACUGAGUCAGGAUACAGAGAUAUCCAGGUAACCUCUGUGCACCUCACUUCUUCAGAGGGUACAUCACCAUGGCUACAGAGUCUGCAGACCUAACAUGCUCUGGAGCAGAUUAUUUUUGAGAAUAGAGUUCAGCAGGAGUAUAACUAUCACCUGUGGCCAAUCAGAUCUCUGGAAUAUAUCAUCAUUAUUCCUGAAAAACCCCUCAGACCUCAGAAUGCUGAUGGUCAGAGAGAGAGAAGUUUUUAUCUGAUGAGCUUCAGUAAGAAAUACAGAUUAUUACAAACUUUUUGGGGAGAAUCUGUUUGUACUUACUGACUUCAUAUAAACAUUCAUAUAGACUUAAUUUUUAUAUUUCACUUUACUCUCAGAGUAUCAGAC